rnacentral:tRNA from 1 species
GGAGAGUUGGCAGAGUGGUCGAAUGCGGCGGUCUUGAAAACCGUUGUGCCGUAAGGUACCAGGGGUUCGAAUCCCUUACUCUCCG